GUAGGGAAUCUUCCACAAUGGACGCAAGUCUGAUGGAGCAACGCCGCGUGAGUGAAGAAGGUUUUCGGAUCGUAAAGCUCUGUUGUUGGUGAAGAAGGAUAGAGGUAGUAACUGGCCUUUAUUUGACGGUAAUCAACCAGAAAGUCACGGCUAACUACGUGCCAGCAGCCGCGGUAAUACGUAGGUGGCAAGCGUUGUCCGGAUUUAUUGGGCGUAAAGCGAGCGCAGGCGGAAGAAUAAGUCUGAUGUGAAAGCCCUCGGCUUAACCGAGGAACUGCAUCGGAAACUGUUUUUCUUGAGUGCAGAAGAGGAGAGUGGAACUCCAUGUGUAGCGGUGGAAUGCGUAGAUAUAUGGAAGAACACCAGUGGCGAAGGCGACUCUCUGGUCUGCAACUGACGCUGAGGCUCGAAAGCAUGGGUAGCGAACAGG
rnacentral:rRNA from 1 species